GGGCCGGUGGCGCAGCUAGGUAGCGCAGCAGGCUUUUAACCUGAGGGCCGCGGGUUCAAACAGUUCGGGAAUUCCUCGAAUUGGAACACAUCCCGCCCGGCCCGCCA
rnacentral:tRNA from 1 species